rnacentral:misc_RNA from 1 species
AAUUCUCAACCUUUCUAGCUUUUGCAGCUGGUCAGGCUUGGAUUUUGGAGGUUGCUGGCUCAUCAUGAAUCAGCUCUUCUUAAAUAUAUUAGCAAAGACCUUUGCUGACCAUCUUUGGUAUGAUAAUUAUCUAUAUCAUUGAUAACCAGCUUCCUUUAUGGAGAGGUCUUGCUUCUAAUAGUCGUUUGACAAUUUGACAA